rnacentral:lncRNA from 1 species
CAUCGCCACCUUUUCUCGCGGCCGCGGCGGUGUGGUCGCGGGAGGCGCCGCCGUGCCGGGGACUGAUCGGCGGCGAUGGGGCGGGGACGAGACGGGCGGAGGGGAGAAGGGGGUUCCCUUCCAGUGCUGGGCAUCUUUCUCAGCCGGAGGUGCUGCUGCUCUGGUUUCCCAGAGGGCUUCGUGUCUCAGAGGCUUCUUCUCCGGCCGGCCACCUCCCCGUCGGCACCGCACCGCCGGUGGCAGAAUCAGAUCGAUUCAUUCCGGGCCGGCGAGCCAACCAGGUGCGACUCCCGAUAUACUCAAACCCUUUUAUCAUCCCCCACUUGGUUGUAAAAUAUAAUUAUAUAAAAUUAUACAUGCGGACAAGAGGAGAAUAAAAUAGUUGAUAAUGAUUAGAGAAAUAUUAUGAUUGGUUGAAAAAAUAUAUGUGAGAAAAUUAAAUGAAUAAUGAUUAUGAUUGGUUGAAUUGAUGAGGCAUGUGAAGAAGUAGCUUCAUUUAAAAAAAAGUGGGUGGUAGAAAUAUCCCAUUUUGGGACUAUACGAGCAUCUUUUUUAACUAACCAGGGAUGAAAAUAGAUAAGAAAUGAACGAAAAAUAGUUUUAUCAUAUUUGUCUUCAUAUUUUUAUUUAGUCAGGAUCAGAAUCGGAAACCCUUAUAUAAAAACUGAAUGAAAUAUCAUCGUAAGCGAAUAUGAAUCGGUACAUAUACGGUAAUGAAUGUUUAUCGGAACAUAAAAGGCCCUUAUAACUUAUUGUAUAUAAAAAAUUCAAUUUGUUUAAGUUUUAGCGAUCAUAUGUACAUAUGGAUAUAUCAUAUAGACAAUUACAAACUAAUAAUAUUACUUGGCUUCAUACCAAUAAAUAUCUGGUUACUACAAAUAUAUUGUAUUAUUAUAAAAGAAUACCGUAUUUAACGAAUUAUAUUGAAAAACAUGUCAUCAUAAAUAACAUGCGUCUUUUUAGCCAAAAAAUAACAUGACCCUUUAGUUCUUACCACCAUGGAUUUUGGAUUUUAGUUUUUUUUUCCCAAAAUGAAUAAAUUCAAAUUUAGAAUUAAUAAAUACAAAGUUGUCUCCAUCUUGAAAUCACAAAUUAACAUUUUGUAUUUUAAUUGUAAAAUAUAACAAGAUAACACUACAUAUAGUUUUGUAGUAAAAUACCAUAUUUAAAAAUAAAAAUAAUUUAGCUGAGUACAUGUAGCGAGUACUACUAGUGCAUUACAUGUAGCGGGCACAUAUUUCUGCCGUCGCUUGAUUGGGGUGCACAUUUUGGAUCUGGACUCUCCUUGAUACGAUGAAAACGAUGCAAGCAAGUAUGAUUCUUAUAGUUCAAUUUGUGGUUAUCUGCAAUAUUGCAUAGGAUACACGGGUUUGUUCGGUUCAUGUCAUUUGCCAGAAAUGCUUGUAAAAACACACAUAGUACAGAUGGGGAAGAGGGGAACCCCAGGCAUGUGGAAACUAAUGCAUUUGAUUUGACACCCAAAUAAUUUUUGCAUUACCAAGAAUAACACCAUAUUUUUUCCGUUUCACUUAUGCUUAUAAGUCAAAAUUUAAAUUUUUAUUCUUAAAUUUAAAAUUGAUUUUGAGAUUUUAUUUAUCGUAGUUUUUUCGGUCUUGGCUUUUAGAUGACUAAGAACACAUAUAUAAAAGUUUUCAUUAAUAAAUUAUUUUUUGUUUUCAAAUAUACUGUUUGAUAAUCACCUUGUGACCACAACCAUCUCAAACUAAUGUUUGAACUGAAGCUCGAGCAAGGGUGGAUUUAACGUGGGGGCAGAGGUUGGGAGGGACUCGAUCCUCCGCUACCCCGUUAAAGCCAUUGGAGCCCCCACGAAGUUUCCCCUAAAAUAUUAUGGCAAACAUCAAUAAAAACGGGGCUGAAACUCUAUCUAACUUGUUCAGACCCCUGUAAUAUCGUUGGCUAGAUCUACCACUGAGCUCAAGGACACCACUCUCAAACAUUCAUAGCCACAUUGUUAUUUACAAUCGAAUAUAAACACUCAUGCAAAAAAAAAAGAAAAAAAAAGAGAACAUGAGCACAAUGCAUAAAAAUCAGAGGCGGAUCCAGCCAGGUGAGAGAGGAGGGCUAAUUGACUUCUUUCUCAUUUAGGUCCUACCCUUCAUUCUUUUCUCUUUUUUUCCCUACUUUUUUCUUAUCUUUCAAGGGGAUCCAACAAAUAGGGGGGCUUGAGCCCUCAGCACCCACGUUAGAUUCGUCCCUGCAAAGAAGAUACAUUCCGAUAGAGCAUGGUGUCACACACAUUCAAGAGAGGGAAGAUAUCACAUUGCACAAGUCGAAUAAUCUUUCUUGAAUAUACAAUGCUUUCACAAGUUCGCCAACCCCUGACUGGAUCUGGUCUCUCUGGAUGAGAUGAAAAUCACGCAGGCUAAGGCCUUGUUUAGUUUGCAAUUUUUUUUGCAAAAACAUCACGUCAAAUGUUUAGACACACAUUUAGAGUAUUAAACAUAGUCUAAUUAUAAAACAAAUUGUAGAUUUCGCCUAGAAACCGCUAGAUGAAUCUUUUGAGUGUAAUUAAUCCGUCAUUAGCACAUGUUGGUUACUGUAGCACUUAUGGCUAAUUAUGUUCUAAUUAGGCUCAGAAGAUUCGUCUCACGAUUUCCUCCGUAACUGUAUAAUUAGUUUUAGUGUUCAUGUAUAUUUAAUGCUUCAUUUAUAUAUUCAAAGAUUCGAUGUGAUGUUUUUGGGAAAAAAUUUGGGAACUAAACAGCCCCUAAUAUGAUUCAUAUUUUGGUUUGCGGUUUUCUGCAGCCUACCCUAGGAUAGUAGGAUGUUGGCUGCGUUCGGCUCUCCCGCCGCUAACCUUAGAUUUCCUCGUUUUUCGUGCGUAUGCUUCCCGAACUGAUAAACGGUGUAUUUUUUACGAAAAUUUUCUAUAGGGAAGUUACUUUAAAAAAUCAUAUUAAUCUAUUUUUAUAAUUUUUUAUAAUUAAUAAUUAAUUGAUUAUGUACUAAUCUAUUACCACGUUUUCUGCAGUAGAUAACUAACCCUCGCACACAUGCCGAACGCGGCCGUAGUUUGGUUUGUAGUUUGUAUCCAAUGGUGUAUCUAGAAUCUUAAAUUUGGGUGGUCCAAUUUAAUAUUUUUUAUACCAGUAAAUAUAUCAUGUAAAAAAAAUACAAAACAACUAUAAAAUUGUUGAAAAAUCAUCCUAAGAUAUUAUUAAGAAAGUUUUUUUUCUUUUUUUUUUCUUAAAUUGAUUUAUUUUUGUUUCUCUCUCUAUAUGUGUGUGUACGCCACCAGAUAUACCCUGUUUGUGUCCCUUGUCAGAAAUGCUUGCGAAAAUCAACGGACCUUGAUGGGUAACCAUGGAAGAGACCCGGGGAGACAUAAGAGCACCUCUGGAACACACGGCAGACGGCCACUCCCGUCUUGUCCACAUAAGUUUGAAAAUCGUGCACAUGCAAAACAAGUAAGUAAAAGUUAGAAAUGGAAGAAAAGAACACAACCAAAAACACAAGAAGUUUGGAAGAUUUCAAUCUUAUACAUAUGACAAUUUUCUACAUAAGUCCUUGAAACGAAUAACUGAAUCCUAUCAUUUUCUUCGAAAUUCCUAUAUGUUGAGCAAUCCUAUAGACACUUCCAAGAAAAAUAAGUAUGAUGUUGUUCUAUCUCGUUACUAUAAAUUUUUAUGUCUCUCAUAUAUAUUAAUCAAACAAUUUUGAAACCUUCAUGUGUUUUUAAUUCCGGUAGGAACUCAGUGGGCAUGCCAUUCUAUUACUACGUUCUUUCUGUUACUACGAUUGUACAAUCCUGCAUUUCAAAGGGACACUAAUUUUAAUUUUCUCAUUACAACACACAUGCAAGUUGCUAGUUAAUCCUGAAUUUACGAACUAUCAAAUUGAGAAAACAGAAAGUUGUGGAAAUAUUUGGGUGGGUUCUAUAUAUGAUUUUGUAAUUACUAAUUUUGAUUUUUGGAACUACUAAUAAAAUUAAUUUGUUUCGUUCCUGAGUACUUAUAAUCCUUCUUAUAUGUAAUUUGCAUAUCAUUUGGUGUAGAAGGUAUAUGCUAUAAAUAGCCCAUGUGAAUGCACAUGUUACUGACUUAUGGAUCUAAAAGUAAGUUACAAGGAAUGAAUGUAGGUACUACCAGUGGAUAAUUUUGAACUAGUGGUUGGUUAAAUGCCGCAUGACUUGUUCCUAAGGACAAAGUUUUCCUGAUGCACUCUGACGAUCUCAAGAUGACAUGAAAUUAGUAACUUUAUUAUGUGGAUAUAAAAGUGAGUGACAGAGAAUAAAAAUAGGAACUGCCAGUGGAUAAUUUUGAAUAAAUAGUUGAUUAAAUGCUGCAUGUCUUGCUCCCAAAGGACAAAAUGUUCCUUCACGGAUGAAUUCUACAUAACAUAACAUGAUAAAGAAUCCAUUUAGCCUUUCAAAUGAUAUUUACCCAUCCAAUCAAUCAGCUUGAAGCUUGACCUGUGAUUGUUUGAUAAAUCGAUAUCUAGAACUGCUAUAUGGUUUUACCCUUCUACUUGUUCGUAGAAAAGAAUAUACGCCUGCCUUUCAAGAACUUCUUCUUGAGAACAUUCUUUGAUGUUCGCAUCGUUUGCAUGUGCCCACAAGAUUUUCUUCUCCUGGCCUGCAAUUCUGUUUGCUCUCACAUAGGCAGUGUAGUGACCUGCGUCUAAUGAGUUCCCAGUGUGUUGGAUGACGGCAACUAGAUGAUAGAUGCAUUUGGUAUUCUCUGAAGGUCUGAAGAUUAAAGGAAAAAAUAUUCACCACCAAACUCAAUUGGCAUAUAUUAAUAGUACUGAGUUACAAGUAAUGACCAAAAUUUUGAGAUAUGCCACUAACCAUCUUCAUAUAAUGCAUUGUAUUACCUCUAGAAACGUUCCUUGUUGACAAAGGAAACGCAUAUGAAAUGUAUAUUAUAGUUAGAUCAUAACUAGAGAUGAUUUGAAGUAUUCCAAAUUUCCAACAGAAUAAGGGAAUAUUUUAGUAGUGAAACUACACCAGGGUUCCAAAAACCAGUUUUUCCAGAACUACUGGCCUUGGUGAAAUGGCUGGUUACAGGAUUUUACCAGACAAAAAUUUCAAAUCCAAAAAUUUAAAUGUUAAACAGUAAAUGGUUACUGUACUGAAAAAAUAAUCUAAAUUUAAACUUUGAAUUGAUAUAACCUCAUAGCUCGUAAUUCACAUUUUGUUAAUCCUCCUAUCUGCUACUAGACUGUUGAUUGGCAUGGCACAUAGUAAUUAGUAAGAUUCAAACGUGUCAAAACAUUAUAUUACCUGGCUUCCAUGUACUUAGUAAUAUCAAGCAGCUCCUCAAAUUUCACACCUGACAUCAGUUUUUUUGGUGAACCUUCUGGAGAUUGCCAAUAUCUCUUCAGCUGAACUAUUAGUACUGGUGACACCUUGGUAAUGAAAAUUUGCUUUGUAGCAGAUCCCUUUUGGUCCACAGUAUUUCCAUCAGUACCAUUGCAGUGCUGACAGACAUAAUCACUGAGCUCAUCGCUUACAAAAUUAUCAAAACAGAUCUCGAUAGAUAUAGGAUCAUCUAUGUCAUAUACCCCAUCAUUUAUAUUAUUUAUUUUAUGUGUCGUGAUAUCAAUAUCUCUGUUUUGAUCUCUGUCUGUAGGUGGCAGCGAUGCACACUCCGGUAAAUGCUUCUUUGCCGGCAGAUCCAGACUGAGAUAAAGGCCUUCCUGCGGAGAAGUUGAUUGACCCUUACAUCUUUUACAUGUAACAGUUGUAGACAUCUCAAAACGGAAGGUAGGGUUGACAAUGGUAGAAUCAUUUCCCUCAUCCUCUUUCUUCAAACAAUUAAGCAAUAAGUUGAGCGUAUCAAUGCUGUCAUUCAUCUCACUUUUCUUGUAAUCUGGACCCUUUGAGCACAUUUCAUCAAACACCUUUCCUGCCUCUCUCUCCAGCGUAUCUUCUGCAUAGUUUGUACCAGCACUUGUCUUCUUGAAGAGAUCUUUC